rnacentral:rRNA from 1 species
GACGGACGCUGGCGGCGUGCUUAACACAUGCAAGUCGAACGGAAAGGCCCUGCUUUUGUGGGGUGCUCGAGUGGCGAACGGGUGAGUAACACGUGAGUAACCUGCCCUUGACUUUGGGAUAACUUCAGGAAACUGGGGCUAAUACCGGAUAGGAGCUCCUGCUGCAUGGUGGGGGUUGGAAAGUUUCGGCGGUUGGGGAUGGACUCGCGGCUUAUCAGCUUGUGGGUGGGGUAGUGGCUUACCAAGGCUUUGACGGGUAGCCGGCCUGAGAGGGUGACCGGCCACAUUGGGACUGAGAUACGGCCCAGACUCCUACGGGAGGCAGCAGUGGGGAAUAUUGCACAAUGGGCGGAAGCCUGAUGCAGCAACGCCGCGUGCGGGAUGACGGCCUUCGGGUUGUAAACCGCUUUCGCCUGUGACGAAGCGUGAGUGACGGUAAUGGGUAAAGAAGCACCGGCUAACUACGUG